UACGUAGGGCGCAAGCGUUAUCCGGAAUUAUUGGGCGUAAAGAGCUCGUAGGCGGUUUGUUGCGUCGGCUGUGAAAUCCCGAGGCUCAACCUCGGGUCUGCAGUCGAUACGAGCAAACUAGAGUGUUGCAGGGGAGACUGGAAUUCCUGGUGUAGCGGUGAAAAUGCGCAGAUAUCAGGAGGAACACCGGUGGCGAAGGCGGGUCUCUGGGCAACAACUGACGCUGGAGGAGCGAAAGCGUGGGGAGCGAACAGG
rnacentral:rRNA from 1 species